CUGAAGAGACCUCAGCUUCACGGUGUUGUGUCGAGUUGUCCGCACCUCGCGGGAUUUUCGGGUUAAUUUAUCACCGUUGAUGAACAACAUAAAGAAUAUUUUAUCGUUUUUAAAUAGCCGGCUACUUGAAAUAGACCCGCGGGGAACCGCGACGUGCGUGCAGUUGUCGGCAGCAGUAAUGCACGUAAAAGUCUGCACAAGACCGUUGAUUGACAGGCGAGAGAGAGAAAAGGAUCUUCAAAAAGCCUCAGUUUAGCUGGAAAUUUACAGUGUAAGUUGAAUGAAAAGAGACUGCAGCUCUGCAGCUUCUCAAGAUUAUAGCGGAGCUAAUUGCCGCGCAGAAAAACACACGAUUCAACUAUCAGUCGACUAUAGGCAGGACUUGACGAUUCUGAUUCGACUAUGUAAAUCCUUAGUCGGGGACAGCCCUACACUGAGCAGCAGGCCGACUAGCUGAGCCCUUCACUCUUGUGAGUUCUUGACCUGACGUGGUGCAUCGGCCCUGACGAGACUGACAAAAAGGGUUGAAGAGGCACCACCUCUCUCCAUCCUGCACGACCUUCCUUCCCUCCUCCAAGAGAGGGGCCAUCCAUCCAUUCGCUCACCCAUACUUCCAUCCGCCCAUCUGGCUGACUGAUGCACAGAAGGGGAACGAGACUGUCAAGAUCCCUGAACCUCAGCCGAACCAUUCUCUCUCUCUCUGUCUCUCUCUCUCUCUGUCUCCUUCCCUCCCUAGCCAUUAGAAGUGGUUGAAGGACUGAUAGUAAGGACAGCAUAUCUCUAUAGUUAAUAUUAAUGUGCGGAGACAGAGGACAAGGUCUCCCUGAAGAGAGCUUUACUUUGACAUAUGCUCACUGAUUCUCUACCUAUCCCUCUAACUCUGUUUCAGUCUGUCUUUGUCCCUCCCUCCCAUCAUCUGUCUUUUUCACAUCUUUGAAUCCUCUCACCUUCUCCCCUUUGACUCUCUACCUCUUUAUCUAUCUCUGGUUCUUUCUCUUUAUCCCUCUCGAUCUUUCAGUGUAGGGAGUUUGAAGCAUCAGGAAGGGGAAUGAGACAAAGAGAAAUGAGGGUUAUAAAAAGAGGGAUGAAGGAUUAAACCGGUGAGGGAUGAGUUUGGCUGCAUGCAAUAUGGCCGUCAUGUGGGAGGCCACUAGUUACUGUGUCCUGCCUGUCUAAUACCCUGCACUGUUGAAUUACUGCUGGGUGCUCACACACACACACACACACACACACACAAACAUACAGUGUCAGUGACAUCCAGCUCCUGUCGAGGUGUAAAUCUCAGACUUAACACGCCACCCACUAAAGCCAGGUGCGGAGCAGCAAGCUUCAUAUUGUGUCUAAACCAGACUAUAUUCACAAUCAGAUCCACUGACAGCCAGACAGAGCAGAGCUAACACUGCACAUUUGCACAACAUACACAAGAGCAGCCGUUAAUGUUUUACUCCAGCUGCCAAAUCAAAAAAUCCAACAUGCACAGAUGACCUUAGUGUGCUACAGUAAGCAAACCGAGCCAAGCACCUUAUAACUUAAGUUUAUGCGAUUUAAUGGGACAUUAAUUUUCCAUUAUUAACACAAAUGACAGUGAAAUGGCCUGUUUAGUGAGGGUGUCCUCCAACCAGAGCGCUAAGUAUCUUGAGGAAUGUACGCGUUAUAUUUCUUGCUCAAGGAUGCUGUGACAGGUGUGGCCAGUUGGGGAAUUGAACAUGGACAGUACCUGUCAGAGGAUCCUUGAGGAAGAAAUUCUAAAAGAAAUCAAUACGCUCUGCAGGAUACUUUCGCUUGAACUGUGUGCCUACUCGCGCUGCAACCCGCAUUUAACAACUGAAAUCACAGUUAUUCUGUCCAUAGAGGGUCCUCUAUCUAUGACCGGUCCUAUUGUCGUAAAUAUCUCAGAUGUCAAUAUUACUGCUGGGUCUCCGCAUCAGUGUA